UUUAUAUGCUCUCUUUCUAAUCAACUGGACCUAGGUUUGUUUUCACGGAUUUGAUCUUCAUGUGUUAGUUCAUCUACAUGAAGAGUUACUUUGUUCAGUCCAAAUAUCCUCUCGCAUUUUGUAUAGCGAUGGCAAGACUAUUAUUGUCUCAUUUGUGCCAAGAGUGUCUUUCUCCAGGAAUCACCGCUUUGAAUUGGGUCUGAACGUGUGCUUCAGUCGGCAUGCAUCUUCGGUUGAGUCUGAAGAGCCAAGCAGAACACUCCCAAGGCGAUGCAAAAAGGGAUGGCAACCGCGACGAUGUUGGUGCCCUGGAUGAUUUGAAAACAUCGCAACACCUGUCUUCGAAGGAGCGUCACCCUCCAUUCGGGACCUGUGUGCCAGGAUCAAAGAAGAGGCAAGGUCAUGGACCAUGGCAGGAGCAAACAGGCUCAGAGAUGUCUUGCCUACAACCUGGGAUGUCACUAAUUUCAGAUUCCGUAAUAACGCUGUGUAAACCUUUUAGGGGGCGUGUAACAACUUACAUCUAUUCAAUGAAAUGAAACGCAAAGAUUCCUUUGUGUUC